GACGAACGCUGGCGGCGUGCUUAACACAUGCAAGUCGAACGAUGAAGUUCCUUCGGGAGUGGAUUAGUGGCGAACGGGUGAGGAACACGUGAGAAACCAGCCUUUCAUUUUGGGAUAACUCCGGGAAACCGGGGCUAAAACCGAAUACUCCGUCUCGGCGGCAUCGCUGAGCCGGGAAAAAAUUUUGAUGAAAGAUGGUCUCGCGGCCUAUCAGCUAGUUGGUGAGGUAAUGGCUCACCAAGGCAACGACGGGUAGCCGGCCUGAGAGGGCGACCGGCCACACUGGGACUGAGACACGGCCCAGACUGCUACGGGAGGCAGCAGUGGGGAAUAUUGGGCAAUGGGCGCAAGCCUGACCCAGCGACGCCGCGUGAGGGAUGAAGGCCUUCGGGUUGUAAACCUCUUUCAGUAGGGAAGAAGCGAAAGUGACGGUACCUAAAGAAGAAGCACCGGCUAACUAUGUGCCAGCCGCCGCAGUAA
rnacentral:rRNA from 1 species